rnacentral:rRNA from 1 species
UACGUGGGGGGCAAGCGUUGUCCGGAUUUAUUGGGCGUAAAGAGCGUGUAGGCGGUCAGGUAGGUCCGUUGUGAAAACUCGAGGCUCAACCUCGAGACGCCGAUGGAAACCAUCUGACUAGAGUCCGGAAGAGGAGAGUGGAAUUCCUGGUGUAGCGGUGGAAUGCGCAGAUAUCAGGAGGAACACCAAUGGCGAAGGCAGAUCUCUGGGACGGUACUGACGCUGAGACGCGAAAGCGUGGGGAGCAAACAGG